CCUACGGGGGGCAGCAGUGAGGAAUAUUGGUCAAUGGGCGUAAGCCUGAACCAGCCAAGUCGCGUGAGGGAUGAAGGUUCUAUGGAUCGUAAACCUCUUUUAUAAGGGAAUAAAGUGUGGGACGUGUCUUGUUUUGUAUGUACCUUAUGAAUAAGGAUCGGCUAACUCCGUGCCAGCAGCCGCGGUAAUACGGAGGAUCCGAGCGUUAUCCGGAUUUAUUGGGUUUAAAGGGUGCGUAGGCGGCCUUUUAAGUCAGCGGUGAAAUGCUGUGGCUCAACCAUAGAAUUGCGGUUGAAACUGGUAGGCUUGAGUAUGUGUGAGGCAGGCGGAAUGCGUGGUGUAGCGGUGAAAUGCUUAGAUAUCACGAAGAACCCCGAUUGCGAAGGCAGCCUGCCAAGCCAUGACUGACGCUGAUGCACGAAAGCGUGGGGAUCGAACAGGAUUAGAUACCCCAGUAGUC
rnacentral:rRNA from 1 species